AGCAUAAUCAUUAGUCUAUUAAUUGUAGUCUUGUAUAAAUGGUUUAACGAAAUAAUAACUGUCUAUUAAUAAUUAAUUGAAUUUAAAUUUUGAGUUAAAAUGCUUAAAUUUUUUUGUAGGACGAGAAGACCCUAUAGAUCUUUAUUAAUAUUGUAUUUAUUUAGUUUAGAAUAUAUAUUUGUAAUUAUUAUAUUAAUUUUGUUGGGGUGACAAUUAGAUACAAUUAACUCUUAUUAAAUUUAUAUACAUUAAUUUAUGAAUAAAUGACCUUCUAUUAUUGUUAUAAGAUUAAGAUACCUUAGGGAUAACAGCGUAAUUUUCUUUAAGAGUUCAUAUCAACAAGGGAGAUUGCGACCUCG
rnacentral:rRNA from 1 species